rnacentral:rRNA from 1 species
AACGAACGCUGGCGGCAGGCCUAACACAUGCAAGUCGAGCGCACCCUUCGGGGUGAGCGGCGGACGGGUGAGUAACGCGUGGGAACGUGCCCUUCUCUGCGGAAUAGCCUCGGGAAACUGAGAGUAAUACCGCAUACGCCCUUUGGGGGAAAGAUUUAUCGGAGAAGGAUCGGCCCGCGUUGGAUUAGGGAGUUGGUGGGGUAAUGGCCCACCAAGCCGACGAUCCAUAGCUGGUUUGAGAGGAUGAUCAGCCACACUGGGACUGAGACACGGCCCAGACUCCUACGGGAGGCAGCAGUGGGGAAUCUUAGACAAUGGGGGCAACCCUGAUCUAGCCAUGCCGCGUGAGUGAUGAAGGCCUUAGGGUUGUAAAGCUCUUUCAGCUGGGAAGAUAAUGACGGUACCAGCAGAAGAAGCCCCGGCUAACUCCGUG